rnacentral:rRNA from 1 species
GUGGGGAAUUUUGGACAAUGGGCGCAAGCCUGAUCCAGCAAUGCCGCGUGCAGGAAGAAGGCCUUCGGGUUGUAAACUGCUUUUGUACGGAACGAAACGGUCCUGGUUAAUACCUGGGGCUAAUGACGGUACCGUAAGAAUAAGCACCGGCUAACUACGUGCCAGCAGCCGCGGUAAUACGUAGGGUGCGAGCGUUAAUCGGAAUUACUGGGCGUAAAGCGUGCGCAGGCGGUGCUGUAAGACAGGCGUGAAAUCCCCGGGCUCAACCUGGGAAUUGCGCUUGUGACUGCAGUGCUGGAGUACGGCAGAGGGGGAUGGAAUUCCGCGUGUAGCAGUGAAAUGCGUAGAUAUGCGGAGGAACACCGAUGGCGAAGGCAGUCCCCUGGGCCUGUACUGACGCUCAGACCCGAAAGCGUGGGGAUCAAACAGGAUUAGAAACCCCUGUAGUCC